UACGUAGGGUGCAAGCGUUGUCCGGAAUUAUUGGGCGUAAAGAGCUCGUAGGCGGUCUGUCACGUCUGCUGUGAAAACUCGGGGCUUAACCCCGGGCCUGCAGUGGGUACGGGCAGACUAGAGUGCGGUAGGGGAGACUGGAAUUCCUGGUGUAGCAGUGAAAUGCGCAGAUAUCAGGAGGAACACCGGUGGCGAAGGCGGGUCUCUGGGCCGUAACUGACGCUGAGGAGCGAAAGCGUGGGGAGCGAACAGG
rnacentral:rRNA from 1 species